GAUGAACGCUAGCGGCAGGCCUAAUACAUGCAAGUCGAGGGGCAGCAGGAAUAGCAAUAUUUGCUGGCGACCGGCGCACGGGUGCGUAACACGUAUACAAUCUGCCUUUAACAGGGGGAUAGCCCGGAGAAAUCCGGAUUAAUACCCCAUAACAAUUUGACUGGCAUCAGUUGAAUUUGAAAGCUCCGGCGGUUAAAGAUGAGUAUGCGUCUGAUUAGCUAGUAGGUGAGGUAACGGCUCACCUAGGCGACGAUCAGUAGGGGAUCUGAGAGGAUUAACCCCCCACACGGAUACUGAGACACGGAUCCGACUCCUACGGGAGGCAGCAGUAAGGAAUAUUGGACAAUGCCCGCAAGGGUGAUCCAGCCAUGCCGCGUGCAGGAAGACGGCCCUAUGGGUUGUAAACUGCUUUUACACCGGAGAAAACCUCCCCUCGUGAGGGGGAGCUGAUAGUAUGGUGAGAAUAAGCAUCGGCUAACUUCGUGCCAGCAGCCGCGGUAAUC
rnacentral:rRNA from 1 species